AGUAUAUCUCCGGGCUGCUGUGCUGAUACCUCCUGUCUAUCGUCGUUGUGUGGACAAUCGUCCACACAACGACGAUAGACAGGAGGUAUCAGCGCAGCAGCCCGG